rnacentral:tRNA from 8 species
CUGCCCGUAGCUCAACUGGAUAGAGCACCAGCCUUCUAAGCUGGGGGUCGGGGGUUCGAGUCCCUCCGGGCAGGCCA